rnacentral:rRNA from 1 species
UCAGGAGGGGGAUAACGACUGGAAACGGUCGCUAAUACCGCAUAUGCCUACGGGUGAAAGAUUUAUCGCCUGGAGAUGAACUCGCGUCAGAUUAGCUAGUUGGUGGGGUAAGAGCCUACCAAGGCGACGAUCUGUAGCUGGUCUGAGAGGAUGAUCAGCCACACUGGGACUGAGACACGGCCCAGACUCCUACGGGAGGCAGCAGUGGGGAAUUUUCCGCAAUGGGCGCAAGCCUGACGGAGCAAGACCGCGUGCGGGAUGACGGCCUAAUGGUUGUAAACCGCUUUUCUCUGGGAAGAUGAUGACGGUACCAGAGGAAUCAGCCUCGGCUAACUCCGUGCCAGCAGCCGCGGUAAUACGGAGGAGGCAAGCGUUAUCCGGAAUUAUUGGGCGUAAAGCGUCCGUAGGUGGUUAUUCAAGUCUGCUGUCAAAGCGUGGGGCUUAACUCCAUAGAGGCAGUGGAAACUGGAUGACUUGAGUGCGGUAGGGGUCGAGGGAAUUCCCAGUGUAGCGGUGAAAUGCGUAGAUAUUGGGAAGAACACCAGUGGCGAAAGCGCUCGACUGGGCCUGCACUGACACUGAGGGACGAAAGCUAGGGGAGCGAAAGGGAUUAGAUACCCCUGUAGUCCUAGCCGUAAACGAUGGAUACUAGGUGUUGCUCGUCAUCGACCCGAGCAGUGCCGUAGCCAACGCGUUAAGUAUCCCGCCUGGGGAGUACGCUCGCAAGAGUGAAACUCAGAGGAAUUGACGGGGGCCCGCACAAGCGGUGGAGUAUGUGGUUUAAUUCGAUGCAACGCGAAGAACCUUACCAGGGGCUUGACAUGUUCGGAACCUUGCCGAAAGGUGAGGGGUGCCUACGGGAACCCGGAGCACAGGUGGUGCCAUGGCUUGUCGUCAGCUCGUGUCGUGAGAUGUUGGGUUAAGUCCCGCAACGAGCGCAACCCACGUUCUUAGU